rnacentral:rRNA from 1 species
AGGAAGUAAAAGUCGUAACAAGGUUUCCGUAGGUGAACCUGCGGAAGGAUCAUUAGUGAAUUCCAUUAGGAGGUUGAUGCUGGUAGCUGGGGUUUUCCUUGGUUGCAUGUGCUCGCCUCUUGAUAAACCUCUCAAACACCUGUGCACUUUGUAGAAGGGGAGAGAUCCUUCUUCUUUUAUUUACACUCUAAAUUAAUCGUAUUGAACGUGCUCUAUGCUGAAAAGCAUUAAAAUGGUUAAUACAACUUUUAACAACGGAUCUCUUGGCUCUCGCAUCGAUGAAGAACGCAGCGAAAUGCGUUAAGUAAUGUGAAUUGCAGAAUUCAGUGAAUCAUCGAAUCUUUGAACGCACCUUGCGCUCCUUGGUAUUCCGAGGAGCACGCCUGUUCGAGUGUCGUGAAAUUCUCAAGCUUUGGGUGUUUUUCUUGUUGAAAGUUAAUCCCUUGGCUUGGUUGUUGGGCUUUGCAGUGUCCUGUAUUGGAACGGCUGGCCUUAAAAGCAUUAGCUGAUCCUAACAAGUGUUGGUUCUACUCAGUGUGAUAAUGUUUCUGAUCGCUGAGGACAUCUCCUUCGGGUGAUGGCCAGCAUAUGUCUGGGUUGCUUCCAAUCUUGGAUUACAUGGUGAAUCCUUCUGGAUUCCCUGUAUGCCACUUGUAAUUUUGACCUCGAAUCAGGUGGGACUACCCGCUGAACUUAAGCAUAUCA